GGGUAGGCGCACAUAGCCUGAGAUCCGAAGAUCUCCGAAUGAGGAAACUCACAUGGGAAACCCCAUGUAUCAUUAAGUGAAUACAUAGCUUAAUGAAGGUAACCCAGGGAACUGAAACAUCUAAGUACCUGGAGGAAGAGAAAGAAAAAUCGAUUUUCUUAGUAGCGGCGAGCGAAAGGGAAAUAGCCCAAACCGGAAACUUGUUUCCGGGGUUGAGGACAUAACAUAAAGAGAAGUAAUGGCUAAUUGAAGAGAACUGGAAAGUUCCACCGUAGAAGGUAAUAGUCCUGUAAAUGAAAGCUAGUAUAAUCGAGUUAUGAUCCAGAGUACCACGAGACACGUGAAACCUUGUGGGAAGCAGGGAGGACCACCUCCCAAGGCUAAAUACUACCUGAUGACCGAUAGUGAAGCAGUACCGUGAGGGAAAGGUGAAAAGAACCCCGGGAGGGGAGUGAAAUAGAACCUGAAACCGUGUGCCUACAACCGCUCAGAGCCCCUUAUGAGGGUGAUGAGGUGCUUUUUGUAGAACGAGCCAACGAGUUACGGUAUGUAGCAAGGUUA
rnacentral:rRNA from 1 species